CCAGGGAUCGAAUCUGUACCACAGCAGUGACAACACCAGCUCCUUAACUCACUAGGCCACUAGAGUGCUCCCCUCUUAGAGAGUUUUUCUUACCUGAGUUCCCAGAACCUUGCUGGCCUAGUAAACACAGGCAAUUGCUAUAAAUAGAGGAGCAAGGAGAACACCCUAUGUGUGUCCCAUACACUCUUCUAAGAAGAGAUGUGCUGAGCAAGCACAAGGAUUUCCUUUGUCAUUAUGGAAAUGUUCAGAAAUGACUGUAUUUAACACGAUCAAUUAAUUUAGUUAGAAUAUUUUAAAUGGAAUAACUGGUAAGAUGAAAAAUGGUCUUUAUUUUCUUGAAUGAGGCUGCAUUUCGAAGAAAACAACUAAAUGGAUGUGAGAUUGGAUGGGAAGACAGUUGGCUUGAGUGGCACUUCUUCCACAACUAUAAUACCAGAAGAGGGUGAGAAGGAACCCACAGGGCACUAUGGGAGCUCUUCCUCAGCCUUGGUUGAGUUCUGCUCUGUCCCCUGCUCCUUCAGCCAAAGGCUGGGAAGUUCAGCUGCAGAUUUUUCUGCCACAUAGACUGUGUCUGGAAAAGAGAACUCUAGGGAAGAGAUUUUUUGGAUUAGAAAACCAGAAAGAGUCCAGUAAUGUUAAAGAAAGACAGAAAGAAAGAAAGAAAGAAGAAAGAAAGAAAGAAAGAAAGAAAGAAAGAAAGAAAGAAAGAAAGAAAGAAAGAAAGAAAGAAAGAAAAAGAAAGAAAGAAAGAAAAAGAAUAGAAAAGCUUCCUUCAGUCUGGAAUUUUGCUCAAAAGAUCAGGACAGGGAGUUUCUGUAGUGGCUCAGUGGUUAACGAACCUGACUAGUAACCAUGAGAUCGCAGGUUCCAUCCCUGGCCUGGCUUAGUGGGUUAAGGAUCCAGCAUUGUCAUGAGCUGUGGUGUAGGUUGCAGACGUGGCUCGGAUCCCACUUUGCUGUGGCUGUGGUGUAAGCCGGCGGUUACAGCUGUGAUUAGACCCCUAGCCUGGGAACCUCCCAUAUGCCAAGGGUGCAGCCCUAAAAAGACAAAAGACAAAAAAAAAAAAAAAAAAAGAUCAGGACAGUUUUUAUUUGAAUUUGGAGUUCCUGUUGUGGCACAGUGGAAACGAACCCGACUAGUAUCCAUGAGGAUGGAGGUUCAAUCCCUGGUCUCAUCACUGGGUUAAGGAUCCAGCGUUGCUGUGAGCUGUGGUAUAGAUCGCAGACAUGGCUUGGAUCCCAUGUCGCUGUGGCUGUGGUGUAGGCUAACAACUGCAGCUCUGAUUCGACCCCUAGCCUGGGAACUUCCAUAUGCUGCAUGUGUGGACUUAAAAAAAUUUGUUUUCUCUGUAAAAGAACUCAUCAAGGAUACUAUUAUUAUUGCCGUAUCUAUCUAUGUGUCUGUGCAUCUAUGUCUACCUAUUGCAGAGACACACACACAUAUUAUCUGUAUAUGUGUAUGGUGGUAGCUUAUAAAAUUUGAAUAGCUUGUUUAAAGAGAAAAAUACCAAGGAUCUUACUUUGCAAAUUUUGCAGAAACAUGACUGCAUUAGCACAUCGCUGGAGCUGCCCUCCCCCACCCACCCCACCUCCCACCCAGGGUCUGGCCUGAAGCCUGAAUUCUCUUGGCUUCCUGGAAAUCUGGUCCAGGUCUGUGUAGUCCCUGUGAGGACUCCUGGUUCAGAGACUCCCUGAUAGGCAUCAAGGACUGGUCAUGGUAACUUGCAGCCAGAACUCUAGGUCUGUCUUUACUGGUCUCUCCAACAGCCAGGAAAAGCAUAUUUUAGGAGCAAAUCCAAAUGCUCUGGUCUUGAAGUAGAAAGAUGAGAAAAACAGCAACAGAGGCAGGAGUAGGAGGGAGAAGAAAGGCAGGAGAAAGCUGCGAAGGGGUGGGGGCUAUGUGGGGUGGAGUGGGGACGGCAGACUAUCUUCCUUACAGGUGUGGGAGGGAACAGAGAAGUCAGUGGUUUCAGACCUCCCUUGGAUCCUGAGCAGAAGGCUAGAGGCUGAGUUAUUUGGGAGGAGAAAUUGGCAGCUUCCCUCUGGGAAGCCCACCUGAUGAAAGUGCAAGGUUUAAAGAGAACUAAGUGCUUGCUUGUGGCCCAGGUCCCCAGGGGAAGUCUCGCCUGUCUUCCAUGGAGCUCUGGCAACCAGCCCCGGGCCCUGGAGCUGUACCUCUCUGGUGCAGGUGUCAGGUGGGUUGGACAAUGACUUGUUUCCAUGGCCCCAGCCUCUUGCAGCUCCUGUGUGUCCAUCUGUCCCCAGAGAUGCAGCAGCUGGGCAGGGCAGGGAGAGACAGCAGACAGGCCCAGAGGAGAGUAGAGAGAGGGUAUGCAGCUCAAUCCAUGCGGAACCGGGACUGAAUCCUGGGGCAACAAAGUGGCUGUAAAGGGCAUUACUCCAUGAUUGAAGGAGUUGGUAUUUGGGCUAAGAAUAGAUAACUGUGUCAGUUUUGAAUUUCUUGAAUAUGAAAAUUAUACUGUUGUGUAAAAGAAUAUCCUAUUCUUAGGGAGAAGUGCUGAAAUAUUUAGGGGUAAAAGGGAGUGAUGUCUUUGCAACUGACUUCCAAAUCGUUCAUAAAAUAACAAUUAUUAAAUAUAUAAAUAGAGAUUGGGAUUUUCCAUCAUGGCUCAGCAGUUAACAAACCUGACUAGCAUCCAUGAGGACAUGGGUUUGAUCCCUGGCCUCUCUCAGUGGGUUAAGAAAGAGGCAUUGCCAUGAGCUGUGGUAUGGGUCACAGACACGACUCAGAUCCUGCAUUGCUGUGGCUAUGGUGUAGGCUGGCAGCCAUAGCUCCGACUGGACCCCUAGCCAGGGAACCUCCAUAUGCCACAGGUGUGGCCCUAAAAAUACAAAAAGACCAAAUAUGUGUGUGUGUGUGUGUGUGUGUGUAGAGAGAGAGAGAGCACAAAUGUAGCAAAAUGUGGAUAACCCGUGAAUGAUAGGUAUGAGGGAGUGCUUUGUACUAUUCCUGAAUCAUUUCUCUGAAGUUUGAAAUUAGAAGUUACAAAAUAAACAGCAGAGGGCACAGAGUUUGGGGUGUAUUUCCAGCUGUCUGGGUGUUGAAGGUACAGAUACAGGGGUUCCGCCUGGGAAGUCUGCUCUGGAAGGUGUGAGGUGAGCCUGGGGCUCUGCUCUGGUCACACAGGCAGCAGCUGCAACUCUGAGAAGCACUUCAGCCUCCAGGGAGAUAUGCUCACCAUCUAAGUGGUACCUCUGAUGUCCCUGAUCUGAGGCUCAGUCCUGAGCAGCCCCAAUGAAGCAAGAGCAAAAAGCCACCCACCCACACCCAGUGGUGGUCCCCAGUUGACUGGACCCCCUGCUCUUCCGGGGACCCCUUGGCAACGGUGUCCCUAGAGAUGGUCUCAGUCACUUGGUCCUCCCAGAACCCAGAGAAAACAUUACUGACACCAAGGGGGCCCCUUAAAAGGUGGGGGAUAUGGUGAGAGUGUGGGUGCUGCCCACACUGACCUGAUGGAACUGUCGGUGAAUGUGCUUGGGCGGAGAAGGAGCUGGGGGUGAGAGUGUGAAGAACACCAGAUGCAGGGAGAGGUGGGCAUGGGGUGGGAGGGGGAGACAAGAUGCAUUUGAGGUUAUUUAGUUAUUUUUUAUCUUUUAAGGGGCGACACCUGUGGCAUAUGGAAGUUCCUGGGCUAUAGGGGUUGAAUCAGAGCUGCAGCUACAACCUACGCCACAGCCACAGCAACAUGGAAUACUUUACCCACUGAGUGAGGCCAGGGAUUGAAUCUGCAUCCUCAUGGAUACUAGUCAGGUUCUUAACCUGCUGAGCCAGAACAGAACUCCAGUCUGAGGUUAUGGAUGUAUCUGUGCACCAAAUAUUUGAUGGCUACACAUCCCGUGUGUGCCUGGCUCUGUGUGAGGAACGUAAGCCCAGCUCUCUCCUGCAGCUCCUGGGAUGAGGAACCAGAGGGCUAGCCCCAGGAUGUAAUAGAGCCUAGUGAAGGGAGGUAAUAUCAUUUAGAAAGUUUGGCACAGAUGUUGACACAUGAGGAGGGAAUUUCCAAACAUCAGGAAACCCACUUUUCUGCAGGUCCUGUCAGCCAGGUAAAUUGCGUGUCCCAAUAAUAGUAAUUAUUUGAAACAGAGCUUCAUCUCACAUUCUUAUCAGUGGCCUUUGGAGUCAUCAGGGUUCCAGAACCACGAGACCCCUCCCCUCAUGGUUCCAUGGGGCCCUCUCUGUCUCACUUACCGCCCCCCCACAACUUCCACUCUAGACUGCCUCUGUCUGCCCAUCGAAGGGAAAUUCUCAACUUUCUCCUCUCUUCUCUAGGAGAAAAUGCAUUUGUUUGGUUCUUAUUUGGGUUACUUUUAUUUAACAUAUUUUUUUUAGUAGGUAAUGCACUUGCAGAUUUGAAAAAUAAAAGGAGUAAAGGAUACUUGGACAGCCCCACGGCUGUUCCUGCCUCAAGGUCACCGGUCUUCCCAGAGGACACGUUUCUUGUGUAUCUUUCCAGAGACUGUCUCUCUAUAUUAAAGAGUGUAUUUUUCUUCAUAUUAAAGAACAGAUUCUAUACAUUUUAGAUGCUGUAUUGUGCUUUGCUUCUUUCAGCUAUUUAAAAUAUAUCUUGGAGCUAAUGUUCCAUUGGUGCAUGAGGAGCUUUUUCAUUCUUUUGGUGACUGCCUAAUAUUCCACUACAUAUAUGA
rnacentral:lncRNA from 1 species